rnacentral:snRNA from 1 species
GGAUCUCUGGCAGGGGAGUACCAUAAUCAUGAAGGUGUUUUACCCAGAGUGAGGCUUAUCCAUUGCGCUCCAUAUGUGCUGACCCCUGUGAUUCCUCCAAAGUUGGGAAACUCAACUGCAUAAUUUGUGGUAGUGGGAGACUGUGUUGGCACUCUCCCCUA